UCAACUUGUCAGUGUUUUUUUCUUCAUAUACUUUUUAUUUUAAAAUACUUUCGGACUGACAGAAAAAUUGCAAAGAUAGCACAGGGGCUUCCCACAUAUCCCACAUUCUAAUUUCCCCACUGUUAAUGUCUUACAUUAUUAUGGUACACUUGUCACAAUUAAUGGUUUGGUGUGUUUAAAUAUGGUAUUAUUUCAGGCACUGGGAUACCUUGAGGUGAGUGCAGACACUCACAGCAACCUGAAGGCCCUGCCUCUUAUGACUAAGGGCACACGCAUAGCUCACCAGCAGCUGGCUACUCCUUCCUGAGAGCUGCCAGACUGACGAGCUGUGCCCCCACCAGGCACAAGAGCUGGGGAAGUCGAAUUAGGUUCCCAGACCUAUACAUUUGGGGAUUUAUACCUAAGGAAGGAGAAGCUCUGCAUGAAGAAUGAGACUGAAUUGUUUGGAUUCGAAGACGGAGGCUCCACUCGCCAGUUGUGGGGGCAGGACAGCUCUGAAAGUCUUCACUGAGAAGAAAACCACCAUCCACUUUAAUUGUUAGUUAAUAUGUAACUGUGUCACAUUUAAAUACUAUCCCCACCUGCAUUCACUACAAUCCCUCUGAGGACUGGGACUGCAAUUUAGAACCCUUCUACACACAUAGUCAGUGUCUAAUAAUGGCAUUUUGAAUGAGUUGUGACUGGCUGAAUUCUUAUAACAGCUAACAAAGCUGGCAGUUAGUGUUGCUACGUUUAAGACUUCUUCAAGUUUCUUCAAGCUUGAACAUUUAAUUACCAUGGGGGGCAUACAUUAGCUUUUCUUGGCUCUUUGGGGACAGUGACUGAAAGACUGAAUACUAAAGGGUAUUCAGAAUAUUCUCUUUAUUACAUGGGCUAAGUCCUGUGCACUUCUAGAUUCAAUAUUGUCCUCCCUAAGGAAGCUCCCUCACGACCCCAUCCGCUUGCUACCAGGCCCUCCAGAACGAAGAGUCCUGACCCUGUGACCACAAGUUUCCCAUGUUUAUGUUGCCAAAAUAGGUAAACUGUGAAUUCUCACAUUUUUCACCAAUGUGAUGGGAAGCAGCAGGGCCUUGGUCCUAGGAAAUGAUGAAAAACCAACCCAAAUGUAUACAGAGCAAACACCACUGUUUGCCAUGCUGUCUUGUUUGUUUCAGGGAAUGUGGAUUUAUUAAUAAUAAUGUUUCACAAUGUGGCAGUCACAUCUGCACCACAAAAUAUCAGUCAUAGAAAGUAAUGCAGGAAAAACCCCAUUAAAUCACCUAGUCCUGCAUCUGCCAAGGCCACAGGCUAUGUUUCUGCCUUUUGAGUUUUAAUAGCAUUUCAAAAUAAAAGAUGAAAUGUUAGGUGCACUCCCUCACCUGUGAUUCAUAAUUAGUAUUAAUGAUGGGGCUCAUGACGAGAAAAUGUAAAACAAAACAUACAAAAAGUUCCAUCUCCUCAAAGUUUCAGUUUAUAACCCUGAGUAGGCCAUUCCCUCAAUUUUACAAAGAAAGGAAAAUUGACUAGUAGACUUCAAUUACCAGAAGCACAUGGCAUCUUCUAUGGAGACUCAUGGGCCAAGGAAAAGAAAAAUCAUGUUUAUUUAUUUAGCACUUAUUUAUUUAACCUUCUGGCUGGGUUUGGUUGUUGGAUCUGGUUUUACAUCCUGAAUUACGAAGUUUAUGAUGGGAAAGUGUGUCAGCUGUUUGCUGAAGGAAAGGAAGUCCUCUAUUCUUUGUCUUCUCUUGUUCAUAGAAUCAAGCAUCCUAAAUGACUGUUUAGAGAAGUUAAAAUAUGGUACAGUUAGGAGCAUUACCCUAGCUCGGCUUCAUUGUCAACAUCUUCAGUUCUUUCCUCCUGACAGUGCCUUGGGUAAGCUCCUGUUACUUCCUGCCUGCAGCAUUGUACAGCUCUUUUCUUGGUUCCUCUCACUCCUAAUCCAUCUGGGCAACUGCUGCUCGAGUCAGGAUCAGCUAAGAUAUAUAUACCAUGGAAUACUACUCAGCCAUAAAAAUAAUGAAAUGAUAUAUUUCACAGCAACAUGAGUGGAACUGGAGGCCGCUAGCCUCAGUGAAUUAACUCAGAAACAGAAAAUCAAAUACUGUAUGUUUUCACUUAUAAGUGGGAGUUAAACAAUGGACACAUGGACAUAUAGAGUGAAAUAAUGGCUGUUGGAGACUACAAAAGGUGGAAGGGUAAGGGGGUGUGAGAGUUGAAAAUUUCCUAUUGGGUACAAUGUUUACUAUUUGGGUGAUGGAUACAAUAAAGGCCCACAGACUUCAUCACUAUGCAAUAUAUUCAUGUAAGAAACCUGCACUUGUACCCCCUAAAUAUAUUUUUAAAAAUCAAAAGUUAAAAACAAAUAAAUAAAUAAUGCUGCU